AUGGCCAUAAGUCCGUGGGGGAGCUGAUCAGUGGCUGGUUGGUGCUUGGCUGGGUGUUAGUCAGUAGAUGGUUCUGUCUCACAACUGCUGCUGCUUGACUGAUGAAUGGAGGGACACAGUAGAAACAAACACAGCCUUAAGCCUGUAAAACUGAGGAUCCAACCCAUUGUGUUCGGACUGGUUAAUGCAGCAGCAGGGAAAUGCAGACUUAUAUGUCAAUUGAGAAUAAUUCAAGUGGAUAGAUGACUCAGAAGGACAAUGCAACGGCUCUGUAUAGCUAUUAGUAGGUCUCCUUCAGUUGAUCAUCUCUGAAAGAGUUAGAAACAUGUUACUUUCAUGUGAAGAGCUCUUGACUCUUAGCAGCCAAGAGCACUUCACAUGAAAUGUGAAUGCAUGUUGAAUGUUUAUUCUUUCAUUAAAUCAUUCUUUGCUAUUAUCAAACCAAUGUAUUGUUGUAGGAUUUCCUUUUACUUUCAGCUAUUUCUAGGUUUCAAUACAAGUGUGGUUUGCUGUUAAUACCUGACUAAUUAUACUAUUGUUGGUGUAUUAGCUUAAUCUAAGCCUGUCACCUUGGCUUUCUGUUGUCAUGCAUCUUGUUCAUUCAACAGUCUUCAAGGGAUUGGGCCAAAUAACAGAUGUUGAAUCUAUCACACCACUGCUUAAAAAAAUAUCUAGGAAAUGAACUGUAAUCUAAUGAAAACUCAACACUUGUUUAUGAUAUUGAAAAGUAUGCUGGGCAUUAAGAAUUAAAAAAAAUGACAAAAAAAGCAAUAUUUUUUGUUUCCUUGAGAGGUUGGAAGGUGGCAAGGAAGUGCUUAAAAUCAAAUGACUGUCAGGUUUUUUCAGCUUGACCUUCAGAUGGAGAAAAUAAACAUUUUUCUUG
rnacentral:lncRNA from 7 species